UAAGCGGAGGAAAAGAAACUAACAAGGAUUCCCCUAGUAACGGCGAGUGAACCGGGAAGAGCUCAAAUUUGAAAUCUGGCGUCCUUCGGGCGUCCGAGUUGUAAUCUAUAGAGGCGUUUUCCGUGCCGGACCGUGUCUAAGUCCCUUGGAACAGGGUAUCAAAGAGGGUGACAAUCCCGUACUUGACACGACGACCGGUGCUCUGUGAUACGUCUUCUACGAGUCGAGUUGUUUGGGAAUGCAGCUCAAAAUGGGUGGUGAGUUCCAUCUAAAGCUAAAUAUUGGCGAGAGACCGAUAGCGAACAAGUACCGUGAGGGAAAGAUGAAAAGCACUUUGGAAAGAGAGUUAAACAGUACGUGAAAUUGUUGAAAGGGAAACGAUUGAAGUCAGUCGUGACUGUUGGGCUCAGCCGGUUCUGCCGGUGUAUUCCCUUCAGUCGGGUCAACAUCAGUUUUAAUCGGUGGAUAAGGGCAGCAGGAACGUAGCACCUUCGGGUGUGUUAUAGCCUGUCGUCGCAUACAUCGGUCGAGACUGAGGAACGCAGCUCGCCUUUAUGGCCGGGGUUCGCCCACGUCCGAGC
rnacentral:rRNA from 1 species